rnacentral:rRNA from 1 species
UACGUAGGGUGCAAGCGUUGUCCGGAAUCACUGGGCGUAAAGCGCACGUAGGCGGACUCUUAAGUCGGUGGUGAAAUUCUGGAGCUCAACUCCAGAACUGCCUUCGAUACUGAGAGUCUUGAGUCCGGGAGAGGUGAGUGGAACUGCGAGUGUAGAGGUGAAAUUCGUAGAUAUUCGCAAGAACACCAGUGGCGAAGGCGGCUCACUGGCCCGGUACUGACGCUGAGGCGGCGAAAGCCGUGGGGAGCAAACAGGG